UUGAUCCUGGCUCAGGACGAACGCUGGCGGCGUGCCUAAUACAUGCAAGUCGAGCGAGCCGAACUAAUUGAUUACCUUCGGGUAUGAAGUUAGGGAAGCGAGCGGCGGAUGGGUGAGUAACACGUGGGUAACCUACCCUAUAGUCUGGGAUACCACUUGGAAACAGGUGCUAAUACCGGAUAAAAGGAGAGAUCACAUGAUUUCUUUUUGAAAGGCGGCGUAAGCUGUCGCUAAAGGAUGGACCCGCGGUGCAUUAGCUAGUUGGUAAGGUAACGGCUUACCAAGGCAACGAUGCAUAGCCGAGUUGAGAGACUGAUCGGCCAAUUGGACUGAGGAACACGGCCCAAACUCCUACGGGAGGCAGCAGUAGGGAAUCUUCCACAAUGGACGCAAGUCUGAUGGAGCAACGCCGCGUGAGUGAAGAAGGUUUUCGGAUCGUAAAGCUCUGUUGUUGGUGAAGAAAGAUAGUGAGGAGUAACUGCUCAUUAUUUGCCGGUAAUCAACCAGAAAGUCACGGCUAACUACGUGCCAGCAGCCGCGGUAAUACGUAGGUGGCAAGCGUUGUCCGGAUUUAUUGGGCGUAAAGCGAGCGCAGGCGGAAAGAUAAGUCAGAUGUGAAAGCCCUUUGGCUUAACCGAGGAAUAGCAUCGGAAACUGUCUCUCUUGAGUGCAGAAGAGGAGAGUGGAACUCCAUGUGUAGCGGUGGAAUGCGUAGAUAUAUGGAAGAACACCAGUGGCGAAGGCGGCUCUCUGGUCUGUAACUGACGCUGAGGCUCGAAAGCAUGGGUAGCGAACAGGAUUAGAUACCCUGGUAGUCCAUGCUGUAAACGAUGAGUGCUAAGUGUUGGGAGGUUUCCGCCUCUCAGUGCUGCAGCUAACGCAUUAAGCACUCCGCCUGGGGAGUACGACCGCAAGGUCAAAACUCAAAGGAAUUUGACGGGGGCCCGCACAAGCGGUGGAGCAUGUGGUUUAAUUCGAAGCAACGCGAAGAACCUUACCAGGUCUUGACAUCUAGUGCCAACCUAAGAGAUUAGGCGUUCCCUUCGGGGACACUAAGAACAGGUGGUGCAUGGCUGUCGUCAGCUCGUGUCGUGAGAUGUUGGGUUAAGUCCCGCAACGAGCGCAACCCUUAUAUUAGUGCCAGCAUUAAGUUGGGCACCUCUAAUGAGAACUGCCGGUGACAAACCGAGAGGAAGGGUGGGGAUGACUUCAAGUCAUCUAGCCCUUAUGACCUGGGCUACACACGUGCUACAAUGGGCAGUACAACGAGGAGCGAACUUGUGAAGGCAAGCGAAUCUCUGAAAGCUGUUCUCAGUUCGGACUGUAGGCUGCAACUCGCCUACACGAAGCUGGAAUCGCUAGUAAUCGCGGAUCAGCACGCCGCGGUGAAUACG
rnacentral:rRNA from 1 species